UUACCGUCUUGACAUAAAGGAGACUCUUUCGGGUACAGGUGGUGCAUGGCUGUCGUCAGCUCGUGUCGUGAGAUGUUGGGUUAAGUCCCGCAACGAGCGCAACCCUAUCUUAGUUACCAUCAUAUGGGACUCGAGGAGACUGCCUGCGAUGACAGGAGGAAGGUGGGGAUGACGUCAAGUCAUCAUGCCCCUUAUGACGGGCUACACACGUGCUACAAUGGAGUACAAGAGGCAUGGUGACACAAGCAAUCUCAAAACUCUCUCAGUUCGGAUUGUAGUCUGCAACUCGACUACAUGAAGUUGGAAUCGCUAGUAAUCGCAAUCAGCACGUGCGGUGAAUACGUUCUCGGGUCUUGUACACACCGCCCGUCACACCACGAGAGUUGGUGACCGAA
rnacentral:rRNA from 1 species